rnacentral:rRNA from 1 species
GCCAAACUUGGCAUGUGAUACCUUUUCGGAAAGCCCAAAGACAGCCCUCCGACGAAAUAAGCAGGACAAUGGGACAUUUCCGUUGACUUUUUGUCGACCCCCAAAUUUUGACCUUUAAGUACUUUUUCGGGCAUUUUCGUGAUUUGGGCUAUAUUACGGACCCAAAAUUACUUGUUCAAGCAUUGUUUUCGAAUUUUUUCAUGCAUCAAAGCUCGUUAAGACUAGAUGGGGUAUCCCUACAUAGCGGGUGGGACCCACGGCGAAUGGUUCAUCAAGUCUUCAAAAAAGAAUAUAUACGAUUGCAUUGCAUAUACUAACGGAUGCGAUCAUACCAGCACUAAUGCACCGGAUCCCAUCAGAACUCCGCAGUUAAGCGUGCUUGGGCGAGAGUAGUACUAGGAUGGGUGACCUCCCGGGAAGUCCUCGUGUUGCAUCCCUCUUUUAUGUUUA